rnacentral:rRNA from 1 species
CCUACGGGUGGCAGCAGUGAGGAAUAUUGGUCAAUGGACGAGAGUCUGAACCAGCCAAGUAGCGUGAAGGAUGACUGCCCUAUGGGUUGUAAACUUCUUUUAUAUGGGAAUAAAAUGUUCCACGUGUGGGAUUUUGUAUGUACCAUAUGAAUAAGGAUCGGCUAACUCCGUGCCAGCAGCCGCGGUAAUACGGAGGAUCCGAGCGUUAUCCGGAUUUAUUGGGUUUAAAGGGAGCGUAGGUGGAGUGUUAAGUCAGUUGUGAAAGUUUGCGGCUCAACCGUAAAAUUGCAGUUGAAACUGGCAGUCUUGAGUACAGUAGAGGUGAGCGGAAUUCGUGGUGUAGCGGUGAAAUGCUUAGAUAUCACGAAGAACUCCGAUUGCGAAGGCAGUUCACUGGACUGCAACUGACACUGAGGCUCGAAAGUGUGGGUAUCAAACAGGAUUAGAUACCCGUGUAGUC